rnacentral:rRNA from 1 species
AGAGUUUGAUCCUGGCUCAGGAUGAACGCUAGCGACAGGCUUAACACAUGCAAGUCGAGGGGCAGCACAGGUAGCAAUACCGGGUGGCGACCGGCGCACGGGUGAGUAACGCGUAUGCAACUUACCUAUCAGAGGGGGAUAACCCGGCGAAAGUCGGACUAAUACCGCAUGAAGCAGGGGCCCCGCAUGGGGAUAUUUGCUAAAGAUUCAUCGCUGAUAGAUAGGCAUGCGUUCCAUUAGGCAGUUGGCGGGGUAACGGCCCACCAAACCGACGAUGGAUAGGGGUUCUGAGAGGAAGGUCCCCCACAUUGGUACUGAGACACGGACCAAACUCCUACGGGAGGCAGCAGUGAGGAAUAUUGGUCAAUGGCCGAGAGGCUGAACCAGCCAAGUCGCGUGAAGGAUGAAGGAUCUAUGGUUUGUAAACUUCUUUUAUAGGGGAAUAAAGUGUGGAACGUGUUCCAUUUUGUAUGUACCCUAUGAAUAAGCAUCGGCUAACUCCGUGCCAGCAGCCGCGGUAAUACGGAGGAUGCGAGCGUUAUCCGGAUUUAUUGGGUUUAAAGGGUGCGUAGGUGGUAAUUUAAGUCAGCGGUGAAAGUUUGUGGCUCAACCAUAAAAUUGCCGUUGAAACUGGGUUACUUGAGUGUGUUUGAGGUAGGCGGAAUGCGUGGUGUAGCGGUGAAAUGCAUAGAUAUCACGCAGAACUCCAAUUGCGAAGGCAGCUUACUAAACCAUAACUGACACUGAAGCACGAAAGCGUGGGUAUCAAACAGGAUUAGAUACCCUGGUAGUCCACGCAGUAAACGAUGAUUACUAGGAGUUUGCGAUACACAGUAAGCUCUACAGCGAAAGCGUUAAGUAAUCCACCUGGGGAGUACGCCGGCAACGGUGAAACUCAAAGGAAUUGACGGGGGCCC